AACCUAGCACACCUGCGGUGUGUACCUGCGGAAGGAUCAUUACUGAGUGUAAAAACUCCCAAACCCAUUGUGAACAUACCACUGUUGCUUCGGCGGAUACGCCCCGGGCGCGCUCUUCACAGGGCGUGCCCCGGAACCAGGCGCCCGCCGGGGGACCGAAACUCUUGUUUUCUUAGGAUCUCUGAGUGUGAUUAUUAAAUAAAUCAAAACUUUCAGCAACGGAUCUCAGAUCGGAAGAGC
rnacentral:misc_RNA from 1 species